AUUGAACGCUGGCGGCAGGCCUAACACAUGCAAGUCGAGCGGAGCGGCGGACGGGUGAGUAAUGCCUAGGAAUCUGCCUGGUAGUGGGGGAUAACGUCCGGCAACGGGCGCUAAUACCUCAUACUUUCAGAUGAGCCUAGGUCGGAUUAGCUAGUUGGUGGGGUAAAGGCCUACCAAGGCGACGAUCCGUAACUGGGCUGAGAGGAGGAUCAGUCACACGGGAACGGAGACACGGUCCAGACGCCUACGGGAGGCAGCAGUGGGAAAUAGUGGACAAUGGGCGAAAGCCUGAUCCAGCCAGGCCGCGUGUGUGAAGAAGGUCUUCGGAUUGUAAAGCACUUUAAGUUGGGAGGCGUUACCAACAGAAUAAGCACCGGCUAACUUCGUGCCAGCCGCCGCGGUAAUAC
rnacentral:rRNA from 1 species